AUGCAAGUCGAACGAAGCAUUUAGAACAGAUUACUUCGGUUUGAAGUUCUUUAUGACUGAGUGGCGGACGGGUGAGUAACGCGUGGGUAACCUGCCUUGUACUGGGGGAUAGCAGCUGGAAACGGCUGGUAAUACCGCAUAAGCGCACAAUGUUGCAUGACAUGGUGUGAAAAACUCCGGUGGUAUAAGAUGGACCCGCGUCUGAUUAGCUAGUUGGUGAGAUAACAGCCCACCAAGGCGACGAUCAGUAGCCGACCUGAGAGGGUGACCGGCCACAUUGGGACUGAGACACGGCCCAGACUCCUACGGGAGGCAGCAGUGGGGAAUAUUGCACAAUGGAGGAAACUCUGAUGCAGCGACGCCGCGUGAGUGAAGAAGUAAUUCGUUAUGUAAAGCUCUAUCAGCAGGGAAGAUAGUGACGGUACCUGACUAAGAAGCUCCGGCUAAAUACGUGCCAGCAGCCGCGGUAAUACGUAUGGAGCAAGCGUUAUCCGGAUUUACUGGGUGUAAAGGGAGUGUAGGUGGCCAUGCAAGUCAGAAGUGAAAAUCCGGGGCUCAACCCCGGAACUGCUUUUGAAACUGUAAGGCUAGAGUGCAGGAGGGGUGAGUGGAAUUCCUAGUGUAGCGGUGAAAUGCGUA
rnacentral:rRNA from 1 species